GCCAACAUUCAGCCUCCUCUGCCCAUCAGCCUUGCUGACACAGGGAGUGGAGAUUUGUGUAGAGAAAUGACUCAUUCAAAUAUGACUUAAUCUAAACCGUAAGUGUAUGAUUUAUUAAUGUGCCACCAGGCCUUACACCAAGAGAGCCAUUCCAGAGAAAAGUCCUUUUUCUCCUGAGAACAGUGCCAGCAGCUGGCUUCGUGACAUUCUGGAAGCCCCGUGCAAUGCUGUCAGGAGCAUAGGGAUUUUACUUUAUCUCCCUUGCUUAUGCUCCACAUAACUGAAAUAUCUCACUGGAAGCUGCAGCAGUGCUGGCCCCUUGCACAGCCAUAUGUGACCACUGCAGAACAAUCAGUUGGAGAGACAGUUUGGACUACAUGGAGGGUGGAGAUAAGGACAAAGUGAAGAAUACACAGGAACCAGUGCCUCCUCCUGGAACUAUGCAACUCCAAGCUGCUUCCAUCAGCUGCUAGGUCCAGUAGGGAGGGACCUACUGAGAGAGCUAAUUAAAAAUGUGGUGUCCUGGACUCACGAAGCCAGAAUUGCUGAGGAGAUAGCCCGAGAAUCUGAAUUUUUAGCAGACAUUUUUUUAGGUACCUUACCCGCAGGAUCAUUUCUGUGAAUAUCCAUGAGGUGAAAAAGUCUGGGAAACACUGUCCUAGGGUGUGGGGAAGAGCGAGAAAAAGAUUUCCGCUCUGGAAGGUAAACAAAUACUCUCUGGAGAGAGAAGAGGAAUGUCCCUAGCAGAUGUCUCCAGAGAAGACAAGACUUUAAAUUCCGCCAGGGAAAUAUACAAUGUCUAACUUCUAAGGCACAUUUGCCAUUCAAUCAUGCUUUAACCCACGUUGCCAGAAAUUUUUGCUCACUAGGUUUUGACUGUACAGGAAUGUGAAAAUAUUCAUGAAGAGUUGUUUUCCAAUGCUAAAGAAUUGAUGUGUUUUAACAGUUGAAUUAAUUGUAUUGAUUAUGAUCACACCUACUUUUUAUAUAUCUUCAUUUCUAACGUUUCUGUACAAUCCUGCCUUUCCACCUGAUAUAGUUAGGCCUUGUGUCAUCAACCAAAUCUCAUCUUGAAUUGUAAUCGCCAUAAUCCCCACGUAUUUAGGGAGAGACCUGGAGGGAGGUGUUUGGAUCAUGGGGGCGGUUUCCCGCAUGCUGUUCUCAUGACCAUGAGAGUAAGUUCUCAAGAGAUCUGAUGGUUUUAUAAGCGUCUGUCAUUUCCACUGCUUGCACUUCUGUGUCCUGCCACCUUGUGAAGAAGGACGUGGUUGCUUCCCCUUCCACCAUGAUUGUGUUUCCUGAGGCCUCCCCAGCCUUGCAGAGCUGUGAGUCAAUUAAACCUCUUUCCUUUAUAAAUUACUCAGUCUCUGUAUUCCUCUGCAGCAGUGUGAGAACAGACUAAUACAUCACCACUUUAUUUACUUUACUCUCUCCCCAUACCGAGGUUUUCUACAUUUUCUUUCUAGGUCUCUACAGUUUCUGCAAAGAUCCUUUAUGGAACUCUUAGGGAAGCUGGGAUGUAUAAUAAAUAAAGGGCUCUUUUCUUUGAGUCCCACACCCAUUUUCUGUGUAUAAAAAUCUUCAACUCCACUUUUGUCUGUUCUAUUUAAAUGUGUGCACAUUUCCUUCUAAUGUUGUAUAUGAAAAAGAGACACCUCUUAGCAGUCUUUCAUAGAGCAAAAUUUUUUACUUUGAUAAAAUCUAAUUUAUCAAUAUUUUUAAAUUUUAUGGAUCAAUCAUGCUUUUGAGGUUGAAUUUAAGAAUGCUUUGCCUAGCCCUAGAUCCCAAGUAUCUUUUAAAAAUUAUUUUUCUAAAUGCAUUAUUUAUGUUUUACACUUAAGUCUAUAAUCCAUUUUGAGUCCAUGUGUAAGAUUUAGGUUAAGGUCAAGAUUUAUCUGUUUUUGUUGUUUUCUCUAUAAAUGUCAAUUGCUCCAGCACUAUUUGUUUAAAAGCCAAUCUUUCCUCCGCUGAGUUCUUCCUAUAAGUUUGUCAAAAGUCAAUUUGGCAUCUUUGUAUAAGUUUAUUUCUGGAUUCUCUAUUCUGUUUUAUUGAUCACUGCAUCUAUCCCUCUUGAUUAGCUAGAUAAUAAAUCCUACAAUAAGGUAGAAUUCUUCCCACUUUAUUCAUAUUCAAAAUAUUUUAAAGCUAUUCUAGUUUCUUUUUAUUUCCAUAUAUAUUUUAGGAUAAUCUUAUCUAUAUUUACAACAUAUGUUGCUAGGAUUUUGAUAGAAUUUGUUUUAAAUUUGUGUAUCAAUGUAGGGAAGACCUGACAUCUUUACUAUUACGUUGAUCUUCCAAUCAAUGAAUAUGGUAUAUCUCUCAGUUUAUAGCUAUUGUCUUUAAUUUAUUUCAUCAUGGUUUUUAGUUUUCAGCAGAGAAGCUUUAUACAUGUUUUGUUAUACAUGUAUAACAAAAGAAGCCUUAUACACUGACAUUUUAUAUUUUGAACAAUUGUAAAUGGUAUUGUUUAAAAAUUUUGUUGUCUAUGAUAGAAAUAAAAUUGAUUUUUGUAGGUUUAUCUUGUAACCUAUGACUUGCUGAGCUCGCUCAUUAGUUUUUUUAUUGUGAUAAAAUAUACAUGAGAUAAAUUUCAUCAUUAUAAUCAUUAAGUUUAGACAUCAAUUGCAUUAAGUACAUAAAUGCCUUAUGCAACCAUCAUCUCUAUCCAUCUCCAGACCCUUUGCAUCACCCUAAAAUGAAACUCUGUGCCCAUUAAACAAUAACUCCCCAUUCUGCCCUCACCCCAGCCCUUGGUAAUUACCAUCCUACCUUUUAUCUCUAUAAAUUUAACCAUCCCAGGUAACUCAUAUAAGUGGAAUCAUGCAGUGUUUGUCCUUUUGUAACUGGUUUAUUUCACUUAGCAUGAUGUCUUCAAGGUUUGCCUAUGUCAUAGCAUGUGUCAGAAUUUCAUCCCUUUUUAAACUUAAAUAAUAUUCCACUGUAGGCAUAUGCCACAUUUUGUUUAUUUGUUCAUCUGUUGAUGGGCAUUUGGGUUGUUUCCACCUUUUGGCUACUGUGAAUAAUGCUGCUGUGAUCAUGGGUAUGCAACUGUCUCCUGGAGUCCCUGCUAUCAAUUCUUGUGGGUAUAUACCCAGAAGUGGAAUUGUUGCAACAUAUAGUAAUUCUAUGUUUAAUUUUUUGAGGACCUGCCAUAAUGUUUUCCACAGUAGCUACAUUGUCUUAUAUUCCCAUUAAGAGUUCCAAUUUCCUCACAUCUUCACCAAUACUUAUUGUUUUCUGUUUUUUUAAAUAAUAGCCAUCAUAAUAAAAGUAACAUGGUAUCUCAUUGUGGUUUUAACUGCAUUUCCCUUUUUACUGGAUUGUUUGUAAUAUUGCUGUAAUUGAGUUGUAGGAGUUUUUAAAUAUGUUCUGAAUAAUUAAUUUCUUAUCAGAUAUGUCAUUUGCAAAUAUUUUCUGCCAUUCUCUGGGUUGUCAUUUCACUCUCUUGAUAGUGUCCUUUGAUGCACAGAAGUUUUGAAAUUUGAUAAAGUUUAAUUUGCGUAUGUAUUUAUUUUGUUGCUUAUGCUUUUGGUGUCAUAUCCAAGAAAUUAUUGCCAAAUUCAGUGUCAUGAAGAUUUUCCCCUGUGUUUUCCUCUAAGAGUAUUAUAGUUUUAACUCUUGCACUUAGAUUGAUCCGCUUUGAGUUAAUUUUAGUAUAUGGGGUAAGACAAGGGCUCAAAUUUGUUCUUUUGUUUGAAGAUUCUAGGUCAUUUGUGAUCUUUAGGAUUUUCUAUGUAGACAUUAAUGUCAUCUUCAAAUAUGAACAGUUUAUUUCUUCCUUUUGUAUAUGUAUGAAUUUACUUUCCUUUUCUUGCCUUAUUGCACUGGCUAGAGUUUUCAGUACUAUGAUGAAUAAAAUCAGUGAGAGCAGACACCCUUGCUUUGUUUCUAAUCUUAGGAGGAAAGCUUUCAGUCUUUCAUCAUUAGGUAUACUGUUAGUUGUAGGCUUAUUAUAGAUGCUCUUUAUCAGGUUGAGGCAGUUUCCUCCUUGGUUAAGACUUUCUAUUUUUCAUUUUCAGUUAUGACCAGGCAUGUUCAUAACUGCUCAUCAAAACUUUGAAUUAGUGGCUGCUUUAACAUCCUUCUCAGACAAUUCUAACAUCUGUUUUGUUGGUGGUGGCAUCUAUCAAUUGUCUUUUUCAUUCUGUUUGAGAUCUUCCUUGCGUUUGGUAUGAUUUUUUUAAAUAUUAUGUCAUGAAACUGCAUCUUAUUUAAAUCUUCUGUUUUAGUUGGCUAUGUCUGACAUCACUUCCCCAGGGGAAGGUGUUGUUACUGCUAGUGGAGGGUGAGAAUUAUGGCUCUCCACUGACAUUGUGGUGGGAUUGGUCCCAUUACCACUGGGCAGGGUUGAAAGUCCUGACUUUCUGCUAGGCCUUCUCUGACUUCAUCGCAGCAGGAGGAAAAGAUGCCUCUGGAGUUGAAGUCAGGUUGCACUGACACUGUGUGUGUAUGGAGGUAGGCUGGGGUGAAAGUGGAGACUCAUUACCACAUGGUGAGUAGUUUCCAGCUCUCUAUUUGGCCUUCUCUGAUACCACCCAGACAGGGACAUUGGGGAUACCUCAUUACAGCCUAGUGAGGGUCAAACUCUAGGCUCCCCACUCAGUCUUUGCUAUCAUGGACACUGUAGGACCAUAGUUUUUUCUGUGCUGUUUGCUUGAUGUGUCUUCCUUGGACCCUGAGUUCCAUAGCUGGUCUGCAUUCCUCUCUCCACCUUUAAGACGUCUUCUUAUGUUUAUUUCAUAUUUAACAUCCAGGGUGGUAAUUAGAGGGAAGAAUAGAGGGAAAAGUACAGUUGCACUUUGUUGUUCAAAGAGCAGUUUUGAACUGCACAGACCCAUUUCUCUGAGCACACCCAGGGAUGAUUGUACUUGUAUAAAAUUUUUUUCCUGGAUGCAGAAUUCUCAAUUGACUGUGAAAGUUCAUAACAAAGAAAACAGUGGGGAAGACAAAUCUGGAAAUGAGGAAAAUAAAAAUUAAAUAGUGAGACCACCCAUGGAGCUUGUGGCAAAGCCUGAAUUGAAUCCGCUGUAUCUUAAGAUUGUGCCUCAUUCUAAAUUUAAGUCACCCUUCUCAUUAUGAAAGUGUCACAACUUCUCAGUAGGUGAGGAGACAGUCUAAAUUUGAGAAAAGAAAGUUACAACAAAGGUUUUGAGCAAGCUGCUAAGUGGAUUUAUUCAUGUUUGAGAAAUCAAAUAUAUGGUUAAUGAGCUCUUUAACUAGAAGCCAACACUAGGGAGGAGUAGACAGAAGUCACGGGGAGGGAGCCCCCGGACAUUUCAAAAGACUUUGCCCUGCAACAUCUCCUCCACAUUUAAGCUUUUAGGUUAUUGUAGCCACAUCACAAGCAUGUUACCUACCCAGAUAUUGUCUGCGCAUCAUUCCCAAAAGCUUCCCUGGGUCUUCAUAAUAUUAAUGAGAUUCUCCCCCAGGUUAGACCCCUUUGGCUUGAGUCAGAAACAGAAUUAAUCCGGGGGACAAUCCAGCAGCACCCAUCUCUGGGUUGCAGAAAUAUCUGAGGUGACCAGGCAGUGUUUGGAGUCCCCUCAGUUAGCUAACAAAGUGAGUUCACAGCUUCCAAGACCCCAGGCUUUCCAGGCUAAUAAAGAGCUGAGGUUAUAGGCUCUCCUUAUCAAACGCUCUUUGGCAGCUGCCAUAACCAUUCCAAGUCUAGUCCUAGAAUAGAAAUGACGCGGUUUCAGGAGCUGACAGAUGGAACUUUAAGCCUUCCUUCCUGCCACAUCUGAAGUUCUUUUUUAAAAAAAUAGAAAACCAUGACAAUAAACACUCCUUGAAUGCCCUGUGGAAAAGUGUACUCCUCAGAAUUCACUAAAGUGGGGUGAAGCAGUGGGUUGUGGUGCUGAGAAAACAUCUCUUCCCCUCGGCAGUAUAUUGGAAUCUCAUAGAAACUUCUGUGGCUGGGAAGCAAACAUGCUCUCUGCCCCAUUGCUCUUAUUCAUCUUUAGACCUGAUAAUACAGUUUGAACUUCAAGUUGCACUUUAAAUGGCAUGCAUUUUUA
rnacentral:lncRNA from 10 species